rnacentral:rRNA from 1 species
UACGGAGGGUGCAAGCGUUAUCCGGAUUUACUGGGUUUAAAGGGUCCGUAGGCGGGCCGUUAAGUCAGGGGUGAAAGUCUGCGGCUCAACCGUAGGACUGCCCUUGAUACUGGCGGCCUUGAGUUAUGGUGAAGUGGCUAGAAUAUGUGGUGUAGCGGUGAAAUGCAUAGAGAUCACAUGGAAUACCGAUUGCGAAGGCAGGCCACUAACCAUAUACUGACGCUGAUGGACGAAAGCGUGGGGAGCGAACAGG